ACCUCGGAUCAGGUAGGAAUACCCGCUGAACUUAAGCAUAUCAAUAAGCGGAGGAAAAGAAACCAACAGGGAUUGCCUCAGUAACGGCGAGUGAAGCGGCAACAGCUCAAAUUUGAAAUCUGGCCCCCAGGCCCGAGUUGUAAUUUGUAGAGGAUGCUUCUGGCGACGCGACUUCCGAGUUCCCUGGAACGGGACGCCAAAGAGGGUGAGAGCCCCGUCCGGUCGUUCGCCUAGCCUCUGUGAAGCUCCUUCGACGAGUCGAGUAGUUUGGGAAUGCUGCUCUAAAUGGGAGGUAUACGUCUUCUAAAGCUAAAUACCGGCCAGAGACCGAUAGCGCACAAGUAGAGUGAUCGAAAGAUGAAAAGCACUUUGAAAAGAGGGUUAAAUAGUACGUGAAAUUGCUGAAAGGGAAGCGCUUAUGACCAGACUUGGGCCAGGUGAAUCAUCCGGCGUUCUCGCCGGUGCACUUUGCCUGCCCAGGCCAGCAUCAGUUCGCUUCGGGGGAUAAAGGCUUCGGGAAUGUAGCUCCUCCGGGAGUGUUAUAGACCGUUGCGUAAUACCCUGGGGUGGACUGAGGUACGCGUUCUGCAAGGAUGCUGGCGUAAUGGUCAUCAGUGACCCGUCUUGAAC
rnacentral:rRNA from 1 species